ACACACAUACACACACACAGAUGGCAGCUGUUUUCAGAAAGCAGUCAAGUGAGCACCACACAAGACCCAGGGCAGACCUGCCUCCUAGGGCCUAGAGACCCAGGCCUCCUAGGCAGGACCACAGCCUCAGGGCCUGGGUGGUUCCAGCCUUGGAUCAGGCUUCCCACCCCUCCCCCUCUUGGCCCCACCCACCUGCUUCCCCCAGGGUCAGAAGAAGGGAAGUCCCCACCCCCAGCUCCCGCUGAGUCAGGCCCGCCAGGAACAGACCCAGGCGACCUAGCUCCUGGCGGGAAGUUCUAGCAGCCUGGCCUGGCUAAGUCACAGCUCUCAUGCCCAGGACCCAGCCUAGCACUGGGGUGACCUAAGUCGAGAUGUGGAACCCUCCCCCCAAGCUGCCCGGAGGAGGAGGUGAUAUGCCUGAGAGCAGAUUGUUUACCGUCUGAGCCACCAGGGAAGCCCACUACGCUGGAGCAGGUAUCCCCAAAGGAGGGGAUCCGGAGCAGCUGACCUCUCAUCCCAACAGGUCCUCAAACCAAGACUUGGUCCUCUACCCGCCCGCCCACCGCCGCUGCUGCCCCAGAGCACAGCCCACUCUGCUUCCUCCCACCCCCUCUACCUCUGCACAAGCACCCAGCCUCCCAGGGAAGCCCAGCAAGUUUCCCCACCCUCUGCCUUAUCUCCCAAGACCCCAUCGCCGCCCCCGUCCAGCUCCG